rnacentral:rRNA from 1 species
UUUAAUUCGAAGCAACGCGAAGAACCUUACCAGGUCUUGACAUCCUUUGACAAUCCUAGAGAUAGGACGUCCCCUUCGGGGGCAGAGUGACAGGUGGUGCAUGGUUGUCGUCAGCUCGUGUCGUGAGAUGUUGGGUUAAGUCCCGCAACGAGCGCAACCCUUGAUUUUAGUUGCCAGCAUUCAGUUGGGCACUCUAAGGUGACUGCCGGUGACAAACCGGAGGAAGGUGGGGAUGACGUCAAAUCAUCAUGCCCCUUAUGACCUGGGCUACACACGUGCUACAAUGGACAGAACAAAGGGCAGCGAAACCGCGAGGUUAAGCCAAUCCCACAAAUCUGUUCUCAGUUCGGAUCGCAGUCUGCAACUCGACUGCGUGAAGCUGGAAUCGCUAGUAAUCGCGGAUCAGCAUGCCGCGGUGAAUACGUUCCCGGGCCUUGUACACACCGCCCGUCACACCACGAGAGUUUGUAACACCCGAAGUCGGUGAGGUAACCUUUAUGGAGCCAGCCGCCGAAGGUGGGACAGAUGAUUGGGGUGAAGU